AAUUAGCGCUUUUGUGCGAGGCGCGUUUGUUUUCCCCUCGGGUUGGAGAGAAAUCACUCUUCAAGCGCUUAGAGUGGCGCCGAAAGCGGUGAAUCACCAUCAGCAGGUAUUCUUUGGACUCAUUGUAGCAGCCUGACGGCCGCGCGCUCCGCCUCCGCGGCGCAGACAACACAUUCAAACAACCCAAGGACUCGCGGGGUAAAUUUAGAGUGUGACUUGUGCUGAGUCGUGACUCUCCUCUGGAACUUUGCCAUCGGUCCUGAUUAUUUCGCAGAGAAUGGGGGGGGCACGGACUCGCCGCGUCGCCGACGUGUCGCCGCUCGUCCGCGUGCGUCACGAGCGCCGCUGCCUUUUAGCCGCGUUCGAAUAACACAAGUGUACCUGGGUAAAAAUAUCCCUCCCGCUUCCCAGAACCGGCCCCUGGCGCUGUUUAAAUCUAGAUGCGUGUCCAUUACUUCUGCUGCUUACUGAAAAGCAACACGGCACAAGACCGCGCGCCUCCAUUCAUCAUCCGUCCAUUAUGUGAGGCAUUUAUCCCGUUAGAGGUCUCGGAGGGGCCGGAGCCAAUCCCAGCUGUCAUUGUGCGGUUCUGUGGGUAGGUACAGCCUGGACAGGUGGACAGUCCAUCACACUGGCUCCAUUACCUGCGCUUCCUCACCUCGCGGCUCCGAAAACGGCUCCCGUCCUCCGUCCGUGGGGGGUUCACGGGUCUCUGAUCGCUGAUCAGAGCGGUGAGCGCGAGGUCCCCCCGCGUCUCUUUUUACCGACGCGCUUCGCGGAAGGACCUCAUUCAUUCGCACCGGAAGAGGCCCGCAUGAAACUUUCUCUCGAGGGAAAAGCCAAGGGAGAGGAGCGUGUGCAGGGGGCCACCGGGGUGAAUGAGGGUCUGCAAAGAGCACGGCUGUUAGCCAAGAGUUCUGCCCCCUGACCUUUGUCUGCACCGUGUACAGUAGCUCUGCUUUCAGGGCUGCUUUUAACGGCUUUAUUUUCCAAGCGGCAAACGGAGACGAGCGCCCCCUGCUGGCAGACAGAGUCAUAACCUGCCACCGGAGAGAGCAGCUCACGUCCUCCUUAGGUCAGACAGCAGGUUGGUGGAGUGGAGCCUCAUGGAUUAUGUUAAAGGCAACUUGGAAUAAACUGUUUUUAUUGGUGAAAAAAAAUAGUAAU
rnacentral:lncRNA from 1 species